rnacentral:lncRNA from 1 species
CCCGCCCACUUUUUAAACCUUUCCAUAAAAAAAAUCAAACAGAUAAGCCAAAAUCGUCAAUCAUUGGCAAUCAUAAUUGUAACCAAGUAGUCUCAGUAAAAGAAAUAAAUGACAUCUGCUCCCAAGAUUAUUGCGAAUGAAGAGUAUUUCUUGAAGACCUUGUAUUGUAGGAUCAUUCAGUGGACUAGGACGUUAACUCAACAAGAUAAAUUUGAGUUUAAAGAAUACAAAGAGGUGAAAGAUACCAAAGAGACUUAAUUAUUGUCACAAUAUUAUUGUAGCAUUUCAUCACACUUUUAAACAUGGUACCGUGACCUAUACAUUCAGCUAACUACAAAUGUAUGUUAAGCGAUGGAUUGUUUAAAAUUAGUAAACCAGAAAAUUGUCUAUUUUUCUUUUAAAGAGUACGUUUUAUCACAACUAAGUUUGAAUUAUAAAGUCCAUAGUUGAAGACCUUAUCUUUUCCAGCACAUUAGUUCACAUCCACCUUAUGUUGGCUUUGAUCAAUAUGAUCUAAUACAUGUUUUAUGAAAGAAUGCUGAAAGAU